CACAAAAAACAAUCACUUCUAUAAUUUUCAUGCACAAAUAUUAUCAAAAGACUGGAACUCCUAAAAAUUGAAGGCUAUAAGGCUGAACAAAACAAUUGUCUUUUUAAAAAUUCCUUCCUCAAGCUACUUCUCAGAAAACCCUGUCAUGUAUUUCUUGAAACAGGAAACACAGAAGGUCAGCUAAACAGAAACAACAAAACUAGUAUAACCAGAUUGACAUGCGGCAAUCAAUAAUAUUAAUGACAAAGUGAAGCUGGAAACUUAAACAACUCUGCACUUCAAUGAAUCUAGGAUUUUCCUGAAUAAAGAAUUACAGAUCCAAACUGCUGGAAUUUCAAAAUACAAGCUUUGAUUUCAAAUCCUGCAGAUUACACUUCCCUGAUGAUCCAAGAAGAAUUGUCAGGAAGCAUACUGCGGAAAUGAUUGCCACACCUUUUAGACUAAUAUUCUGAAGCCAAAGGAGCAAAGGACUUGUACAAAAUAUAUACUAAGGCAAGCUUUCUGAGCAAGCUUUUUAUACUUUCUUUCUGGUGUUACUGGUAAUUUUCCUUAGUUCCUUUUUUGCUAUAUUGAGUGCAACACAUCUACAAUAUUUUCGCAUGGCCUUUGCUUCUAUUUCCAAGAAAUUUAUCUUGGACGGUAGUUGCCUGUAGGUCAAUCCUUAAAAAAAAAUAGUACAGAUCUCCUAAACUGCCAAAAAAAAAAAACAACCUACGGCAGAUCAGAAUAAAGUAUAUUUAUCUAGCAUUUAGUUCUAAAUGGCAAAGGUGCUGAGAGAAAUUCCAAAUUAGAAGAGCAAUAAUAUCAUUCUGCAUCUCCAAAUGUAUUGCUUGUUUUUAAUGAAUUCUACUGUGCUUUUGUUUCAAAAAUG